UACGGGGGGGCAAGCGUUGUUCGGAAUUACUGGGCGUAAAGGGCUCGUAGGUGGCCAACUAAGUCAGACGUGAAAUCCCUCGGCUUAACCGGGGAACUGCGUCUGAUACUGGAUGGCUCGAGUGUGGGAGAGGGAUGCGGAAUUCCAGGUGUAGCGGUGAAAUGCGUAGAUAUCUGGAGGAACACCGGUGGCGAAGGCGGCAUCCUGGACCAAUUCUGACACUGAGGAGCGAAAGCCAGGGGAGCAAACGGGG
rnacentral:rRNA from 1 species